rnacentral:rRNA from 1 species
UUAAAAAGCUCGUAGUUGAACCUUGGGCCUGGCUGGCCGGUCCGCCUCACCGCGUGUACUGGUCCGGCCGGGCCUUUCCCUCUGUGGAACCCCAUGCCCUUCACUGGGUGUGGCGGGGAAACAGGACUUUUACUGUGAAAAUAUUAGAGUGCUCCAGGCAGGCCUAUGCUCGAAUACAUUAGCAUGGAAUAAUAGAAUAGGACGUGUGGUUCUAUUUUGUUGGUUUCUAGGACCGCCGUAAUGAUUAAUAGGGACAGUCGGGGG